rnacentral:rRNA from 1 species
GAAAGGUUAUGCCCACCAGAAGAAAGGUUGGCGGCUGAUUAGGUUGUUGGCGGGGUAAUGGCCCACCAAGCCUAUGAUCAGUAGGGGCCUUGAGAGAGGGAGCCCCGAGAAGGACACUGAGAAACUGGUCCUAGUCCUACGGGGUGCAGCAGUUGCGAAACCUUUACAAUGUACGAAAGUGCGAUAAGGGAAUCCUUAGUGCUUUAGGUUUUUCCUAAGGCUUUUGGUAAAUUUAAAAAGUUUAUCGAAUAAGUGGGGGGCAAGACUGGUGCCAGCAGCCGCGGUAAUACCAGCGCCACGAGUGGUUAUCAUGUUUAUUGGGUCUAAAGCGUUCGUAGCCUGUUUAAUAAGUUUUUUGUGAAAUCUUUUGUUUCAAAUAAAAGGUAUGCAAAAAAUACUGUUAGACUAGGAACCGGGAGGAGUGAAAGGUAUUCUAUGGGGAGCGGUAAAAUGUUAUUAUCCAUGGAAGACUGCCUGUGGCGAAAGCGUUUCACUAGAACGGUUUUGACGGUGAGGAACGAAAGCUAGGGGAGCGAACCGGAUUAGAUACCCGAGUAGUCCUAGCCGUAAACGCUGUGGAUUAGGCGUCGCAUAUUCUUCGGGAAUAUGCGGUGUUGUAGCGAAGGCGUUAAAUCCACCACCUGGGGAGUACGGUCGCAAGAUUGGAACUUAAAGGAAUUGGCGGGGGAGCACACAAAGGGUGAGGCGUGCCGUUUAAUUCAAAUCCACGCGAGGAAUCUUACCAGAAGCGACGGCAGGAUGAAGGUCAACCUGAAGGGUUUACCUGACGAGCCGAGAGGUACUGCAUGGCCGCCGUCAGCUCGUGCCGUGAGGUGUCCUGUUAAGUCAGGUAACGAGCGAGACCCAUAUUUCUAAUUGCUAACAGCUUUUUAGGACUGAGCACUUUAGAAGGACUGCCUGGGAAACUAGGAGGAAGGUAUGGGCAACGGUAGGUCUGUAUGGUCCGAAUCCUCUGGGUUACACGCGCGCAACAAUGGUAAAGACAAUGGGAUGCGACCUCGAGAGAGGAAGCUAAUCCUCUAAACUUUAUCUUAGUUCAGAUUGAGGGUUGUAACUCACCCUCAUGACGUUGGAAUCCUUAGUAAUCGGAUUUUAUCAUGGUCCGGUGAAUAUGUCCCGGCUCCUUGCACACACCGCCCGUCAAACCAUUCGAGCGGGAUUUAGGUGAGGGUUAGUUAUAAUUAGCAAAAACCUAAGUUUCGUGAGACGGGUUAAGUCGACACAAGGUA